AUAUAAAAUCUAGAACCCCAAGUAAUUUCCCAACAGAAGAGAACAGAAAAAGUACUGUAUUUUUAUUUUGACUGUCCUGUAAAAUUACAAAAAUUUCGUUUACUAUCUUUUGCCGAAUUAUUUGGUAUUCGUGAGUAGUUGUACUGCCCUCGUGCGUAUUAACUACGUUGCCUUGCCCGAUUGCUGCCGCUUGUUCAAAUACAUUUGUUGCUGACAAACGAAUCACUUUGAAAAUGCUCAGGCGUGAUCUUACUAGAUUGGAACUCACCGAAGAAGACAAGGAGAUCUUGGCUCAGCUCCAAAAAGAAUUGGAAGAAGCCAGAGCAUCAAGAACUGAGCUAAACAAAAUGCUUAUGGACCACAGGAAGAACAGAAAACAAUUCGUUCCGAGACCCAGACGUUUAUAAUAUAUAUAUAUAUCCGAUUAAAUGAUUUCUCUAAUACUAAAUAAUUUAAAUACAUCAUAUUUCAACAUAAUAUUAUAACAAUAAUAUGCUUCUUCAUAAACUAUGACUUCUUGUUUC